AAGUCGUAACAAGGUUUCCGUAGGUGAACCUGCGGAAGGAUCAUUAAUGAAUGUUGAACCGGGUUGUUGCUGGCCUCCAGGGGCAUGUGCACACUCUUCAAUUUCAUCCAUCCCUGUGCACUCACUGUAGGCGCCACCAUGUGGCGUCUAUGUCUUUUCUCACACACUACUUAGACUGUGAAUGUGAAUCGGAUCCUCAGGAUCUAUAACUAUACAACUUUUAGCAAUGGAUCUCUUGGCUCUC
rnacentral:misc_RNA from 1 species